CCUCACCCCCCUCACCCCAUCUCGCUGUUGUCUGGUCCUAUAUGAUGAAAAUGAAAUACAAUGAGUCCUACAGGGCUCCAUUCUCGGGAAUUAGGAAUCAGGAACAUUUAUUACCAAAAUAUGUCGGACAUACAAGGAAUUUGGUUUGGCGGUUGGUGCGUGACGUCAGACCGUAAGUCAAUGGGCAACAAGACGGAUGAGCAACAUGGUGCAAGAGUCUUCUGUUCAGAAUCUUCGAAAUCUUAGAAUCUUGAUUAUUACAUCAUUGUUUUUUUCCUCCACCUUUACAUGACUUGGAAUAACUACUGAAACCUUAAUAAUAAAAAGAAAGGAGUAAAAUUAUUUUCCAUGUGUCACAUGCUGGUUGUGCAAAACAAAUUACCUCUUCACAAUUUAAGCUCAUUAAGUUUUAUUUUCGUUGACAAUUCAAAAGCAUGCUAAUUAGCAGUCAUUUCUGGCCUCUGUGUAUAAAUUAGCACAUUUCUGUGUGUGGCCUUCAGAUGUUGGGUCUCUCCGUGUCAUUCUGUCACAUUGCCCAGAAAGAUUGCUUUGUUUCACCUAAUUUGGUGGAAUAAUCAUUAAUUAAAAUGGAAUGUGUGCCACCCGUGUCUGUCAACUGUGGAGAAAAUAAUAUUAAUAAUCUGCCACCUAAAUCUUCGUUCCACAAACCUCUGAUAGCUAAUUAGAAAGUGGACACAAUAUCUUAUUCUGAUGGCGCUUUAAAAACGUUUCAGCCAUCUUCUCCUUAACGAGGAAAAUGGCUUCUCGAACAGAGACGACUUUGUCAGUUCGGUACAAAGAGGGAAAUUAAUUAAGUAAUUAAGAAUUAAGAAAUAAAGACUUACAAAUAAGAGAGUCCACAAACAGGAGGGUACAAAAGGACCCUUCUGCAGGUCAUGGGUGGAAAAAAACUGAAUCAGACAAACUAAUCAGAGAACAAGAGACAGGUGAGCUGAAAGCUGAUUGGUGGAUGAAACAAAGGGAGUAGAGCAGAGAUUAUGAGGCUGAAUACACGCAGGUCUAUCCAUCCAUCUUCAAAGCCGCUUAUCCUUCAUCCAGGGUUGAGAGGGGCUGGAGUCAAUCCCAGCUAGCUGUGCGAGAGACGGGGUCCGGCCUGGACGGGUCGCCAGCCAAUCGCAGCGCUACACAGAGACGAACAACCAUUCACCCAAUCCGACACGCAGGUGAUGCACAGAGAACAGGGGGGAAGAAACACAAAGACAGGAGGUCAAACACAGGACACACAGGACGGUGAACUUCAAGAUAAAACGGGAAACAACCCAUGGAUUAGAACUGUGAGAACUCGCCCCCCGGUGGUCAUUAGAGAGAAUGCAGCUUUAACACACAGCUUUGACUUCACUUUUGAGAACCGGAUCUGGUUCAAACUAAAUAAUAAUAAUAAUGAGUCAUUUCCCUUUGGUCUGAAUGUAUUAACUGUUUAGUAUUUGCUUUUAGAAAAGUCUUAUUGGUUCUCUUAGCACACAGUCGUCUGAGACAACUAGUGGAUCCUAUGACGAGAGGAUUGAUGGGCGGGAAAAGAGCAACAGGAUAUGAAAGGGCUGAGAAUAGGAGAGAGGGUGAGAGAGGCUUUGGGGGGGAGAGUGUGGCAUUUAGAGGGGAGAGGGGGUUUGGGGAGUCAGGCUGCCGUCUGGCCUAAUGCACCCGUGCUGUGAUUGGCUGGGAGCGCCGGCCUGCAUACCUGAUACCGGGCUCUGCUCUAAUCGUCCUUUUCCUGUUGCCCGGGCUCGGACAACGCUCCUUUCUCCUUUUAUCUCGCCCGCUCAGCUCUCUGCUCAGAUCAGGUUGCUAAAAGAAAAACCGCCGCCCGCCACAAAAUCUCUGUUUCUUUGACUCCCCCCCCGUCCCUCCCCAUCACCCCACCCUCCUCUCCCUUGCAGCUCUCUUUUUCCUCCACCAGUCUUGACUGUCACUCUUUCCUCCACAGACACAAGAUCAUAGAACACAUGAGAGAAACAGGGGAGGCAGACGGAGAACAAAAAGAGUUUGAACAGUAUGGUUUUGUUUUGCUAAAUGUUUUUGAUUUUGUUCUCUCUCGUCUCAUUGGCAAAUGUUAGCUAAGCUGACAUGCUAAGCUAGUCAGCUAAAUGUCUGUCAAGAAUACUCGGCUAAAACUAGAGGCCGUCAUGUGAUGAGAUCAAACCAGCAAGGAAGCUGAAUUUAGACUGGUGCGUGAGUGUUUCGGGGGGGUAUUCUGUACCAAGCGUGGUUGACUGAAGGGCGGAUGGGUUUGCUUUGUUACCACAGCAACCCAUGAUGAUUGGUUGGUGAUUUCUGGACAUUAAAAAAAACUUCUGAUCACAAGCAAAUACCAAAAUGAAAAGGUCUGUUCUCAGAAACUCGUCGGAUUUGCUUGUCUUAGACUAAAAGCACUUGGUUGGAUUUGGGGAAAGGUUGUGUUCGGGGUCCAUUGAAACUAACAUCGUCUGUUUGAGCGAUAAUCUCCGGUAUCAUGCGGACUUUACUUAUUGUGUCAGGUUUAGAAAGCACGUGACUCGAAAACACACAAAUCAGUGUCUGUCAAAGAGUCACUGAACAGAACUCGUCCAGUCAUGAAUGAAAAGAACUACACAGAGGAGGUGUAACACUAUCAGAGUCGCAUGUGGGGCCCCACAGGGCUCAAUCAUGGGUUCACUGAUUAUCCCGGGUUCAAUGUUCCCCCGAGGUGCUACAAAAUACCACCUGAACACCCAACAACCGCAUUCUAUCUUCAGCCUGUUUUUCUGUUGAACCUCUGAUUUUGGUAUUCUGUCCCAUCCCAUCCUAUAUUGUCCCAUCCUGUCUCCCGUGCUGAAGCAGAGUGUCGCGGGGGCCAGGUGUUGCUGUAUGUGGAUUCUCAGUGUCACUGUGCACCGUGGGAGGACAAAGACAGUAUUGAGGAGGCCGGCGUGGAGCAGAGAGCAGCACAGGAUACUCUUACAGACUCGCCAGUGUUUGUGCCAAGUCCUCCCUUCAUACACACAACAGACACUGUGUUCAGUUUCUCCCCACUACCGGCUUUGUCCUGUCAGACUCUCGUUUUCUCCCUCCCACUCCCUCCUAUCCUUCUUUUUACUUUUUUUUUAUGUGUGUUCAGAGCAGGUUGGCUCGCAUUGGAGUCGGCAUCUGAGGGUGUAGUUGAGAGGCCCAGAUGGCAGAAGGUCUACGAACACUCGGGCAAGAGACUGUUCUCUCGACCUCUGGGACACAAAGUCCACGAACUUGAAAGAAGCUCAGUCGGGUUGCACUUCUAACAAAGGGCAACAAGUAAUGGUCGAGGAACUUGACUCACUUAUACUUAAGUCGCAUAUUUGUUGCCUUUUCUUUUUGGGAAAACAGGUUCCUGGACAUCCUUGAAAAGACCAGAUCCCGUUACGGAUCGCACUGCAGGGGGAAAGUAUCUCAUUUGUGCCGAUACCCAACGUGUCAAAGAAAGGAAACGAUGAUGCAGGUGAAGGAGGACAUCUGAAGAUAAGCUUUCAAAGUAUGAGGAAGCCUUCUGCUGUCAUGGUUACGGAUUCCUCAGGGGGCUCCGGCUCGCUGCCACGACAAACUUAACACAGCAUCUCAACCAUCACAGACAGGCAAUUAGUGUUUGCCUUUCAUGACCGUGCGCGCUCUCAAGAAGCUAAAAAAGCUGGAGACAGCGAUGGUAAUUGACUGAGUUUCGCAGAAUGGUCCAAUAACAACGUUCCUGUCUCGACACAGGGGUCGGAGUUGAAGGGGUGGGGGUGAAAUGUUUGACAAUAAUGUACUUGGUGGUACUUGGUGAUAAAGCAUCCUUUGUGAAAGGUCUCAUAAAGAACAUCUUUCCAAUGGACAGUUUGACCACGUUGUCUUUUCACAGGAAAACCUUCAGUUUUUUGCAUCCUAAUUCAACCAGAUUAAAAUACAUUUAUAAAUGUGUAUAUAUAUAUAUAUGUAUAUAUAGUCCCAGAAGGAAAAGGAAAUGUAGCACAAACUCCUAGAAUACGGGGCUUAAACAUCUGCCCGUGUGUCUCCAACGAGAGAAACUUGCACCUUUGGAGACGUUGGAUUGGUGGUCAGGUCUUGUCCCCACAACGACUGACCAUGUGUGCAAAGACAGUCUGAUCCAGGGUGGACAUCAGGACUUCCUCCAUGUCUCCAAAGAGUGUGAUCUGGCUUUUGUAUGUAAACAGAGAAAGAUGUCACCCACGUGAUAAUGAGAACCUCACCCCGAGGAACAGAAGAAGAAGGAAAAAUCGUGGUGUCAUCAGAAAGCAGAGGUGGUGCUCGCUCUGAUUCUGGGGGAGAAGCGUUUUAAUGAGCCCCUAUCAGGCUCUUUGGUUUCUUUCCACCUCGGCCUCGAAGCAAGGGGUGCCACGACACCCUGGUGUCCGAGUGGGGGGGGGGUACCGGAUAACUCUC
ensembl:lncRNA